rnacentral:rRNA from 1 species
GACGAACGCUGGCGGCGUGCUUAACACAUGCAAGUCGAACGGAAAGGCCCCGUUCUGGGUACUCUAGCGUCGAACGGGUGCGUGACACGUGCGUAACCUGCCCUUGCCUUUGGGACUACUACAGGAACCUGGGGCCAAUACUGAAUAGGAAUCCUUUCUGCAUGGGGGGGGUUGGAAAGCUUCGGCGGGUUUUGGUGGACCCGCGGCCUAUCAGCUUGUUGGUGGGGUUGUGGCUUAACAAGACGUUGACGGGUAGCCGCCCUGCGGGGGCGACCGGCGACACUGGCACCUACAGACGGCCCCGGCUCCGACGCGUGGCAGCAGUGGGGAAGCUUGCACGAUCGGCGCCGGCCUGAUGCAGCAGCGCCGCGUGCGGUAUGACGGUCUUCGGAUUGAAAACCGCUUUCGGCAGGGGCGAAGCAUGUGGUGACGGUACCUGCAGAAAAAGCACCGGCUAACUACGUG